UACGGAGGGUGCAAACGUUGCUCGGAAUCAUUGGGCGUAAAGCGCACGUAGGCGGCCUGUUAAGUCGGAUGUGAAAGCCCCGGGCUCAACCCGGGAAGUGCAUUCGAAACUGGCGGGCUUGAAUAUGGAAGAGGGUCGCGGAAUUCCCGGUGUAGAGGUGAAAUUCGUAGAUAUCGGGAGGAACACCAGUGGCGAAGGCGGCGCCUGGGCCAAUAUUGACGCUGAGGUGCGAAAGCGUGGGGAGCGAACAGG
rnacentral:rRNA from 1 species